rnacentral:rRNA from 1 species
UACGUAGGGUGCAAGCGUUAAUCGGAAUUACUGGGCGUAAAGCGUGCGCAGGCGGCUUUGCAAGACAGAUGUGAAAUCCCCGGGCUCAACCUGGGAAUGGCGAUGGAGACUGCAAGGCUAGAAUCUGGCAGAGGGGGGUAGAAUUCCACGUGUAGCAGUGAAAUGCGUAGAGAUGUGGAGGAACACCGAUGGCGAAGGCAGCCCCCUGGGUCAAGAUUGACGCUCAUGCACGAAAGCGUGGGGAGCAAACAGG